rnacentral:rRNA from 1 species
UGCAGUUAAAAAGCUCCUAGUUGGAUUUCGGGAUGGGCCAGUCGGUCCGCCUAACGGUGUGUUUACUGGCUGGUCUGUUCUUCUUCGCAAAGACUGCGUGUGCACUUUACUGUGUGUGUGUAGGAUUUACGACGUUUACUUUGAAAAAAUUAGAGUGUUCAAAGCAGGCAUACCGCUUGAAUACAUGAGCAUGGAAUAAUGGAAUAGGACUUUGGUCUUAUUUUGUUGGUUUCUGAGACCGAAGUAAUGAUUAAGAGGGACAGUUGGGGGCAUUCGUAUUUCGUUGUCAGAGGUGAAAUUCUUGGAUUUACGAAAGACGAACAACUGCGAAAGCACUUGCCAAGAGUGUUUUCAUUAAUCAAGAACGAAAGUUAGAGGAUCGAAGACGAUCAGAUACCGUCCUAGUUCUAACCAUAAACGAUGUCGACUAGGGAUCAGCGGGCGUUAUCGUACGACCCCGUUGGCACCUUACGGGAAACCAAAGUUUCUGGAUUCCGGGGGAAGUAUGGUUGCAAAGCUGAAACUUAAAGGAAUUGACGGAAGGGCACCACCAGGAGUGGAGCCUGUGGCUCAAUUUGACUCAACACGGGAAAACUUACCAGGUCCAGACAUAGUAAGGAUUGACAGGUUGAGAGCCCUUUCUUGAUUCUAUGGGUGGUGGUGCAUG